CACCACCAUCCACGCCAUGGACGUGGUCGACGCGGCGAUGCUCACAACUGUCAAAAAAAAAAACAGAAGUUACACCAUCGGAAGUAUAUACUCACGCAACUGAGAGGAAGUGAACAAGACUUGUGCUGCACUAAAGGAGGAACUCACACUGGACAGUCCUGGCCUUGUUGGUGCGCAGCAUGACAUAGAUCAUGAGUGUGAGCUGAGGCGCGCUCUCACAGAACGUCUCGAUGAGUCGCAGCAUGCUCAGGUCAUGGGUAAGGUAAACCGCAUACUCUGACCCUUCCGCUUUCCGCCACCACACUCUGAAGCCCUGACGUAUGGCCGAGAUGUGCCUGUGAGGAUGAACAUGUGAAAGAGGUCAUGUGACGAUGACUACACCGUGAGAACAUGACACACACACACACACACACAAAGUCAUGCAGCUUCUGACAAGAAUCAAACUGACAUUAGGAGUGAACAACAGCGACUUCAUGAACUCAUUGUUUGUGCAUUUUAUAAAUUCAGUCCCUUCACUUAAGAUCAGGUUAUCACACCUGACUUGUAUUCAUUACAACAGCACCUGUCAAAUCUGUACUGCCUACUUGACUGCAGUUUUCCCUGUGGGAAUAGAACUGCCACUGCAGUUAAGACUAAAAAUUAUUUUAUUUGCACCUUCACAAUUUUGAGAAUAGGCUGAUUUGUAUGUAUUGCUGCAGGGUUGCAACCACAAAUUAAUUAUUAUUAUCAAUCAAUCUAUCCACUUUUUUUUCACAAUUUUGUGAAGACAUUUUAAGAACCAAAACAAUACUGUAGACUGAGAAAAUAAGUGACACAAUCGUUGACACAGUGACACAAACAUGAUGGCUAUUAUUGAUUAAGCAUACUUUAUAUUGAUCAAUAAGAUUAAAAUAUACACCACAAUGUCAACUGCAAUUGCUCCAUUACAUUUAUAAAAAAAAGUAUUUAAUGUUUGUUUGUCAGGGUAUUGACCUGAAGAGGAAACCCAGCUGCAGCACAUGUAACAGGCAGAAGAUCUUCACUCGGUCCCCGAACAGCACGGUCCCUCCUCCGCUGUGAGAGGCAUUGAACCCCGGCAGCUCUCGGUCGUACUUAAACCAGAACCAGCUGAACAUCUGAACCACGACCGAAGAGAGGACCAUGAGGCCGACCAGCACCGCGAACCAGAGAAAGUCCCCGCGGCAGUAAAACUCGGUGGCCACCCACACGUCCGAGCCCCAGUCCACGAGGAAAGUGCAAACCCCGACCACAGAGAAGGCGAAGUCGAUCCAGGAGUAUUUCGAGAAGACGGGGCCCUCCAUGACGGAGCAACGUAGAUCGCAGCAGCAGCAGCAGCUAGCUGACCUGUUGCUGCGAGGCUAACAUUCAGCUAACACCGCGGACCGUUAUUUCUCUCCCAAACUGACUCCACAGUCUGGAUGAAGUUGUCUCAACUUUCAUAAUUUGGCAAGAGCGUCAAACGAUUUUCAUUAGAGCGACAUUAAAAUGUAGAAGUCAUUAUUUUCGGGCGGAAAAGUGUUUAUAAAUGUUAGAAAAAAAAAACAGCCCCCGCACAAGUUAGCAGCGUGUGUUCGUAUGUGGAGUUGUUAGCCCCGCCCACCGCGGCUCACUGGUACAGUCCAAGGGUUAGAACCCGAAUAACCAUUUCUAGAUUAAUCGAUUCGUUGUUUGGUCCAGGAAAUGUCAGAAAAUGUUUAUCAUCUUAAUGAUGUUUCCAAAUGUGUUGUUUUGUCCAAAAACUUCAGAUUCAAUUAUGUAUUUGUUUUAUUUAGCAAAGAAACCAGAAAAUAUAUACAUAGUAGCUGAAAACUCAGCCAGCUUGUUUUGAUUAUACCCCCCCCCCCGCCCCCCCCCCAAAAAAUUGAUUAGUCAUUUAUCAAAAUGUUGUCAAUUGUUAAUCAAUGAUUUGAUUAAUCGUUGCAGCCUUAAUUGGUCAUCAAUGGCCCUACUUCAAGCUCCCACAAACUAGAUAUAAAUGGAUUGAUCAAUUAGUCCUUUUAAAUUGUAGUUAAAGGUACAGUGUGUAAAAUUAAGCAAUAUUUAACAUUCACAAAAAUGUGCAUGUUGCAGCUGAAUGUUCCUUAUUUGGACUGUAGGGGGCUGCAUUACAUUUUUUUUACACAUUAUUUAAAGACAAUGCAAUAACAGAAACAUGUAGGUAGUUUUGCCCUUAAAAAGUCCAUUGUGUAAAAUUCAGGUGAAGGAAUUUAAUUUGGUGCUGAGUCAUUUCAAAGACAUAAUUCUCCAACUGUGUAACAAAUAUUGUUCUCCCAAAAAGAGGAAAUAAACAGCCCAAAUAUUA